UACGGGGGGGGCAAGCGUUGCUCGGAAUCACUGGGCGUAAAGGGUGCGUAGGCGGGUCUUUAAGUCAGGGGUGAAAUCCUGGAGCUCAACUCCAGAACUGCCUUUGAUACUGAGGAUCUUGAGUUCGGGAGAGGUGAGUGGAACUGCGAGUGUAGAGGUGAAAUUCGUAGAUAUUCGCAAGAACACCAGUGGCGAAGGCGGCUCACUGGCCCGAUACUGACGCUGAGGUGCGAAAGCGUGGGGAGCAAACAGG
rnacentral:rRNA from 1 species